GGGGGUGUGGCGGAACUGGCAGACGCGACCGGUUUAAGCCCGGUUGGCCUUUAGGCCGUGUGGGUUCGACUCCCACCAUCCCUACCA
rnacentral:tRNA from 1 species